rnacentral:rRNA from 1 species
CGAGCGCUGAUUUCUUCCGAAUGAAGUGCUGAGUGGCGGACGGGUGAGUAACGCGUGGGUACCUGCCUCAUACAGGGGGAUAACAGUUGGAAACGACUGCUAAUACCGCAUAAGAUUGCAUGAUAAAAACUCCGGUGGUAUGAGAUGGACCCGCGUCUGAUUAGCCAGUUGGCGGGGUAACGGCCCACCAAAGCGACGAUCAGUAGCCGACCUGAGAGGGUGGCCGGCCACAUUGGGACUGAGACACGGCCCAAACUCCUACGGGAGGCAGCAGUGGGGAAUAUUGCACAAUGGGGGGAACCCUGAUGCAGCGACGCCGCGUGAGCGAAGAAGUAUUUCGGUAUGUAAAGCUCUAUCAGCAGGGAAGAAAAUGACGGUACCUGACUAAGAAGCACCGGCUAAAUGCGUGCCAGCAGCCGCGGUAAUACGUAUGGUGCAAGCGUUAUCCGGAUUUACUGGGUGUAAAGGGAGCGCAGGCGGUACGGCAAGUCUGAUGUGAAAUCCCGGGGCUCAACCCCGGUACUGCAUUGGAAACUGUCGGACUAGAGUGUCGGAGGGGUAAGUGGAAUUCCUAGUGUAGCGGUGAAAUGCGUAGAUAUUAGGAGGAACACCAGUGGCGAAGGCGGCUUACUGGACGAUUACU